UUCAGAUCUGUUAAAGACACUUUUACAAACGACUUGCUGAAUACAUCAUCAGCAGCUUUUCAAAAUCGAGCUGCAUUGAUAAAGGGACAGCUUGAACCUGUCUACCAAAGGACAUUCCCUUCAUUCAGGUUCUUGGAAGUGGUGUCAUUCAAAAGUGGAUCAGUCAUCAACAACGUGAACCUUGGCUUUGUAAGCACGUCUGCCCCUAGUAACGCUCAGAUUGCAAACACUUUGAUCAACGCAGCUUCAAACAUCACUGCCUUCGACAUUGAAAGCAGCUCUAUCUCCGUGAAUGGCAUCUCUUCGGGUGGAGUAAGCCACAAAAUCAGUCUCGUCACUGCAUCCUGCCUGGUACUGUUGUCAUGGCUACUCUAAAGCAAGCAAUAGCAUCUGUGCUGAAUUUCCUUCAGAUGAUGACAGUCAUGACUGAUAUGAAAAGGGAAUUUGUUGUCCGUAAAUAUCCAAAAUUCAUGAUUGCCUUAAGGCUUGACAGCUUUGGAUAAAUGUACUAUCAAAUUUAACUUUACAAAACCCCUAUAGAGGUUAAAACAAUUGUGCAACAACAAAUAAAUGAC